GCUGUUGGAGGAUGAAGAGCAGCAAGCAGAGUUGUACUCCUUUUUGGUGCCGCUAAGAAGUCCCAGUAUAGAAAAGGUUAGCUCUCGCGUGCAACAGGAAGCAACUAGAAGAGAUUGGCAUGUUUGAGAUUAGGCCAUUAUUCAUAGGAAGAGGUAAUGAACCUAUAAAUUUCUUGUCAUUGUGCGACUGGUGUGAUGAACCAACCGUCUUUCCUUUGAUCCAUCCCCAUGUAUUAUGUGACGUCCAGACAGUAUUACUUUGUUGAACCAUAACAACCUAUAUAAAUUUCUGUGCAAG
rnacentral:lncRNA from 1 species